GAUCCGCGGAGAAGUCAGGGUGACCCCGUUUUGCGCAAGGGUUGCGAUACUGGCGGGCUUUGAGACGGUCAGACAGCUGAUGGAUCUGGGAGUUCAUGUCAUAAUGGGCUCUGGCUGACUGUCGCUUCUCCGGAUCUGGAAGGAGUCGGUGGAUGUUGCGUGUAUGAAG
ensembl:lncRNA